rnacentral:lncRNA from 1 species
CUCGUCAUCCUUUUCUUCUAAGUCCACCUAUGAGCUCUUCUCCUCAUGGUGGCUCUCUCCACCCCACCCCUUCCUUAUCGAUAACCCUUUCCUCUCCCUCCUCCCUCUCUUCCUCAUCCUUUUCUCCUUCUCCUCCUUUUUCUUCUUUCUCCUCCUCCAAUCCCACCUAUGAGGCCUUCAAUGCUAUCCUCCUCCUCCA